GGUAUCAGGUUUAGUCUUAUGUCGUAUAACAUUUUGGCUCAGGCGUAUGUGAAGAGCUCCUUGUUUCCCCACUCUCCAUCUUCUUGUCUCAAGUGGAAAGCCCGCUCGCAGGCAAUUUUGAGUGUUCUCAAGAACCUUGGAGUCGACUCUCUGCCUACAGGAAGUUGAUGAGUAUGAGAGCUUUUACAAAGGAAAUAUGGAGAGCAGUGGUUAUUCCAGUACCUACAUUCAGAGAAGUGGGC